rnacentral:rRNA from 1 species
GUCCACGCCGUAAACGUUGGGCGCUAGGUGUGGGGCUCUUUCCACGAGUUCCGUGCCGCAGCAAACGCAUUAAGCGCCCCGCCUGGGGAGUACGGCCGCAAGGCUAAAACUCAAAGGAAUUGACGGGGGCCCGCACAAGCGGCGGAGCAUGCGGAUUAAUUCGAUGCAACGCGAAGAACCUUACCAAGGCUUGACAUGGGCAGAAAUCCGGCAGAGAUGUCGGGUCCGUAAGGGCUGCUAACAGGUGGUGCAUGGUUGUCGU